CACAGCGGAACACACAUUGGCGCGUUGCU
rnacentral:sRNA from 1 species